CAAACUGGGAUUAGAUACCCCACUAUGCCUGGCCCUAAAUCUUGAUGCUUUAUACAACCUAAGCAUCCGCCCGAGAACUACGAGCACAAACGCUUAAAACUCUAAGGACCUGGCGGUGCCCCAAAUCCACCUAGAGGAGCCUGUUCU
rnacentral:rRNA from 1 species